GACGAACGCUGGCGGCGUGCUUAACACAUGCAAGUCGAACGGUAACAGGCCGCAAGGUGCUGACGAGUGGCGAACGGGUGAGUAAUGCAUCGGAACGUGCCCAGUCGUGGGGGAUAACGCAGCGAAAGCUGUGCUAAUACCGCAUACGAUCUAUGGAUGAAAGCGGGGGACCGUAAGGCCUCGCGCGAUUGGAGCGGCCGAUGUCAGAUUAGGUAGUUGGUGGGGUAAAGGCUCACCAAGCCAACGAUCUGUAGCUGGUCUGAGAGGACGACCAGCCACACUGGGACUGAGACACGGCCCAGACUCCUACGGGAGGCAGCAGUGGGGAAUUUUGGACAAUGGGCGCAAGCCUGAUCCAGCAAUGCCGCGUGCAGGAAGAAGGCCUUCGGGUUGUAAACUGCUUUUGUACGGAACGAAAAGGUCUGGGUUAAUACCCUGGGCUGAUGACGGUACCGUAAGAAUAAGCACCGGCUAACUACGUGCCAGCCGCCGCCGUAAUAC
rnacentral:rRNA from 1 species